GUGGGGAAUAUUGGACAAUGGGCGCAAGCCUGAUCCAGCCAUGCCGCGUGAGUGAAGAAGGCCCUCGGGUUGUAAAGCUCUUUUGUCCGGAAAGAAAAGCGCUCGGCUAAUACCCAAGCGUCAUGACGGUACCGGAAGAAUAAGCACCGGCUAACUUCGUGCCAGCAGCCGCGGUAAUACGAAGGGUGCAAGCGUUACUCGGAAUUACUGGGCGUAAAGCGUGCGUAGGUGGUUCGUUAAGUCUGAUGUGAAAGCCCUGGGCUCAACCUGGGAAUUGCAUUGGAUACUGGCGGGCUAGAGUGCGGUAGAGGAUGGCGGAAUUCCCGGUGUAGCAGUGAAAUGCGUAGAGAUCGGGAGGAACAUCCGUGGCGAAGGCGGCCAUCUGGACCAGCACUGACACUGAGGCACGAAAGCGUGGGGAGCAAACAGG
rnacentral:rRNA from 1 species